rnacentral:rRNA from 1 species
ACGCUGGCGGCGUGCUUAACACGUGCAAGUCGAACGGUGAAGGGAAGCUUGCUUCCCGGAUCAGUGGCGAACGGGUGAGUAACACGUGGGCAAUCUGCCCCAGACUUUGGGAUAACUACUCGAAAGAGUAGCUAAUACCGAAUAUUCAGCCUUGCAGGCAUCUGCGAGGCUGGAAAGUUUCUCGGUCUGGGAUGAGCCCGCGGCCUAUCAGCUAGUUGGUGAGGUAAUGGCUCACCAAGGCGACGACGGGUAGCCGGCCUGAGAGGGCGACCGGCCACACUGGGACUGAGACACGGCCCAGACUCCUACGGGAGGCAGCAGUGGGGAAUAUUGCGCAAUGGGCGAAAGCCUGACGCAGCAACGCCGCGUGCGGGAUGAAGGCCUUCGGGUUGUAAACCGCUUUCAGCAGGGAAGAAGCGAAAGUGACGGUACCUGCAGAAGAAGCACCGGCUAACUACGUG